UACGUAGGGACCAAGCGUUGUUCGGAUUUACUGGGCGUAAAGGGCGCGUAGGCGGCGCGGUAAGUCACUUGUGAAAUCUCUGAGCUUAACUCAGAACGGCCAAGUGAUACUGCAGUGCUAGAGUGUGGAAGGGGCAAUCGGAAUUCUUGGUGUAGCGGUGAAAUGCGUAGAUAUUCAGAAGAACACCAGUGGCGAAGGCGACAUACUGGUCCGUUACUGACGCUGAGGCUCGAAAGCGUGGGGAGCAAACAGG
rnacentral:rRNA from 1 species